rnacentral:rRNA from 1 species
AGUGAACGCUGGCGGCAGGCCUAACACAUGCAAGUCGAACGGCAGCACAGUAAGAGCUUGCUCUUACGGGUGGCGAGUGGCGGACGGGUGAGGAAUACAUCGGAAUCUACUUUUUCGUGGGGGAUAACGCAGGGAAACUUACGCUAAUACCGCAUACGACCUACGGGUGAAAGCAUGGGACCUUAGGACCUCACGCGAUUGAAUGAGCCGAUGUCGGAUUAGCUAGUUGGCGGGGUAAAGGCCCACCAAGGCGACGAUCCGUAGCUGGUCUGAGAGGAUGAUCAGCCACACUGGAACUGAGACACGGUCCAGACUCCUACGGGAGGCAGCAGUGGGGAAUAUUGGACAAUGGGCGCAAGCCUGAUCCAGCCAUACCGCGUGGGUGAAGAAGGCCUUCGGGUUGUAAAGCCCUUUUGUUGGGAAAGAAAAGCAGCAGGUUAAUACCCCGCUGUUCUGACGGUACCCAAAGAAUAAGCACCGGCUAACUUCGUG